CUUAGGAAUCUACCUAGUAGUGGGGGAUAGCUCGGGGAAACUCGAAUUAAUACCGCAUACGACCUACGGGAGAAAGGGGGCAACUUGUUGCUCUCGCUAUUAGAUGAGCCUAAGUCGGAUUAGCUAGAUGGUGGGGUAAAGGCCUACCAUGGCGACGAUCUGUAGCUGGUCUGAGAGGAUGAUCAGCCACACCGGGACUGAGACACGGCCCGGACUCCUACGGGAGGCAGCAGUGGGGAAUAUUGGACAAUGGGGGAAACCCUGAUCCAGCCAUGCCGCGUGUGUGAAGAAGGCCUUUUGGUUGUAAAGCACUUUAAGCAGUGAAGAAGACUCUUCGGUUAAUACCCGGAGACGAUGACAUUAGCUGCAGAAUAAGCACCGGCUAACUCUGUGCCAGCAGCCGCGGUAAUACAGAGGGUGCAAGCGUUAAUCGGAAUUACUGGGCGUAAAGCGAGCGUAGGUGGCUUGAUAAGUCAGAUGUGAAAUCCCCGGGCUUAACC
rnacentral:rRNA from 1 species